rnacentral:rRNA from 1 species
AAUACCCAAUUCCUGACACAGGGAGGUAGUGACAAGAAAUAACAAUACAGGGCUAAUGUCUUGUAAUUGGAAUGAUGGUGACCCAAACCCUCACCAGAGUAGCAAUUGGAGGGCAAGUCUGGUGCCAGCAGCCGCGGUAAUUCCAGCUCCAAUAGCGUAUAUUAAACUUGUUGCAGUUAAAAAGCUCGUAGUUGAAUUUUAGCGUGUUCGAGUUUGCCAUUCGUUUGGCUUUUUCGAGUUCGCUUUUGGGUUUUCCCUUUUUACUUUGAGAAAAUUAGAGUGUUUCAAGCAGACUUUUGUCUUGAAUACUUCAGCAUGGAAUAAUAGAGUAGGACUUUGGUUCUAUUUUGUUGGUUAUUGAACCUUAGUAAUGGUUAAUAGGAACGGUUGGGGGCAUUCCGUAUUUAA